rnacentral:misc_RNA from 1 species
AGAAAACAUGCCAAGGAUUGUUGAAUCAGCAAGAGAGUCCACGUGAUAUCGUGCAUCCGCCGCACAUAGAGAAAGAGAGAGAGAGAGAUAGGUUAUGUUUUCAAAAGGACAAGGAAGCACAGAUUUCAGUUAUGUGCGUGUAAAUUACAUACGGAUAGAGAUAGCUUCUGCGUAAGCUUCACAAAAUAUCAUCAUCAUUAUUAUUAUUAUU